rnacentral:tRNA from 1 species
GCCAUCUUAGCUCAGUUGGUAGAGCAACGGUUUCGUAAACCGUAGGUCACCGGUUCAAAUCCGGUAGAUGGCU